rnacentral:rRNA from 1 species
AGUGAACGCUGGCGGUAGGCCUAACACAUGCAAGUCGAACGGCAGCACAGUAAGAGCUUGCUCUUACGGGUGGCGAGUGGCGGACGGGUGAGGAAUACAUCGGAAUCUACUUUUUCGUGGGGGAUAACGUAGGGAAACUUACGCUAAUACCGCAUACGACCUACGGGUGAAAGCAGGGGAUCUUCGGACCUUGCGCGAUUGAAUGCGCCGAUGUCGGAUUAGCUAGUUGGCGGGGUAAAUGCCCACCAAGGCGACGAUCCGUAGCUGGUCUGAGAGGAUGAUAAGCCACACUGGAACUGAGACACGGUCCAGACUCCUACGGGAGGCAGCAGUGGGGAAUAUUAGACAAUGGGCGCAAGCCUGAUCCAGCCAUACCGCGUGGGUGAAGAAGGCCUUCGGGUUGUAAAGCCCUUUUGUUGGGAAAGAAAAGCAGCAGGUUAAUACCCCGCUGUUCUGACGGUACCCAAAGAAUAAGCACCGGCUAACUUCGUG